ACUGGAAUGAACGGCUAAAUGAGGACUAAACUGUCUCUUACAGUCUAUCAAUGAAAUUAAUCUUCCAGUACAAAAGCUGGAAUAAGCUCAUAAGACGAGAAGACCCUGUGGAGCUUUAAAACCAAACCACAAAACUCUCAUGCCUUCUGGUUUUUAGUUGGGGCGACUUCGGAGCAAAAAAAACCCUCCGAAAACUCUUAGUCAUUAAGAUCAACACACCAAAAACAAUUUUACGACCCAGCAGCUUCCUAAACACACCUGUCUGAUCAAUGAACCAAGUUACCCCAGGGAUAACAGCGCCAUCCCCUCCUAGAGUCCCUAUCGACAAGGGGGUUUACGACCUCGAUGUUGGAUCAGGACACCCCAAUGGUGCAGCCGCCAUUAAAG
rnacentral:rRNA from 1 species